CCCGGGCGAUGGUUGCCCCGGUCGUAAGGGACUGCAAAUGAGCGGGAAGUGAAUUUGGAAGAAGGCGAGAAAAGCUGUGUGAAUAGAAGAUAGAGCCCGUACCGCAAACCGACACAGGUAGAUAGGAAGAAGAUUCUAAGGCCAACGGGAGAAGGGUUGUUAAGGAACUCGGCAAGUUGACCCCGUAACUUAGGGAGAAGGGGUGCUCUUUAAGGAGAGCCGCAGAGAAUAGGCCCAAGCGACUGUUUAGCAAAAACACAGCUCUAUGCUAAAUCGAAAGAUGACGUAUAUGGGGUGACACCUGCCCGGUGCCGGAAGGUUAAGAGGAGGAGUGAGAGCUCUGAAUUGAAGCCCCGGUAAACGGCGGCCGUAACGAUAACGGUCCUAAGGUAGCGAAAUUCCUUGUCAGGUAAGUUCUGACCCGCACGAAUGGUGUAACGAUUUGGGCACUGUCUCAACAACCUGCCCGGCGAAAUUGUAGUACCGGUGAAGAUGCCGGUUACCCGCGACUAGACGGAAAGACCCCAUGGAGCUUUACUGCAGCUUAAUAUUGAAUUUCGGUAUUUCAUGUACAGGAUAGGUGGGAGACAGGGAACCAUAGGCGUCAGCUUAUGGGGAGUCGACCUUGGGAUACCACUCUUGAGGUGCUGGAAUUCUAACCUGUGGCUCUGAAUCGAGUCAGGGGACAUUGUUAGGCGGGCAGUCUGACUGGGGCGGUCGCCUCCAAAAGGUAACGGAGGCGCUCAAAGGUUCGCUCAGCAUGGAUGGAAACCAUGCUUUUGAGUGUAAGCGCAAAAGCGAGCCUAACUGCGAGACUGACGGGUCGAGCAGUAACGAAAGUUGGAGUUAGUGAUCCGGCGGUAUGUGAGUGGAAAUGCCGUCGCUCAACGGAUAAAAGCUACCCUGGGGAUAACAGGCUGAUCUCCCCCAAGAGUCCACAUCGACGGGGAGGUUUGGCACCUCGAUGUCGGCUCAUCGCAUCCUGGGGCUGAAUUCGGUCCCAAGGGUUUGGCUGUUCGCCAAUUAAAGCGGUACGCGAGCUGGGUUCAGAACGUCGUGAGACAGUUCGGUCCCUAUCUGUCGUGGGCGUAGGAUAUUUGAAAGGAGCUGUCCCUAGUACGAGAGGACCGGGAUGGACGCACCGCUGGUGCACCAGUUGUCAUGCCAAUGGCACAGCUGGGCAGCUAUGUGCGGAACGGAUAAACGCUGAAGGCAUCUAAGCGUGAAGCCGACCUUAAGAUAAGAUAUCCCUUCGUAAGAGUAAGACCUCUCAUAGACUAUGAGUUUGAUAGGCCUAAGGUGUAAGCACAGUGAUGUGUUCAGCCUGCAGGUACUAAUCGGUCGAGGGCUUUUCUAA
rnacentral:rRNA from 1 species